rnacentral:tRNA from 1 species
UGGCCUUUAGCAUAAUUGGUUAAUGCAAUCAACUCAUAAUUGAUAAGAUACGAGUUCAAGUCUCGUGGGGCCAA